rnacentral:rRNA from 1 species
AUUAGUGAAUCUAGGACGUCCAACUUAACUUGGAGUCCGAACUCUCACUUUCUAACCCUGUGCAUCUGUUUUAAAAUUGGCUAGUAGCUCUUCGGAGCGAACCACCAUUUUUCACUUAUACAAACACAAAGUCUAUGAAUGUAAACAAAUUUAUAACAAAACAAAACUUUCAACAACGGAUCUCUUGGCUCUCGCAUCGAUGAAGAACGCAGCGAAAUGCGAUACGUAAUGUGAAUUGCAGAAUUCAGUGAAUCAUCGAAUCUUUGAACGCACCUUGCGCUCCUUGGUAUUCCGAGGAGCAUGCCUGUUUGAGUGUCAUGAAAUCUUCAACCCACCUCUUUCUUAGUGAAUCUGGUGGUGCUUGGUUUCUGAGCGCUGCUCUGCUUCGGCUUAGCUCGUUCGUAAUGCAUUAGCAUCCGCAACCGAAACUUCGGAUUGACUUGGCGUAAUAGACUAUUCGCUGAGGAUUCCAGACUUGUUCUGGAGCCGAGUUGGGUUAAAGGAAGCUUCUAAUCCUAAAGUCUAUUUUUUGAUUAGAUCUCAAAUCAGGUAGGACUACCCGCUGAACUUAAGCAUAUCAAUAAGCGGAGGAA